rnacentral:lncRNA from 1 species
GUCGGACCACCAACGCCGCCGUCGGAGCACCGUUUUCGCCCCACCUCCACGGCUGGCCUCCUACAGUCCCCUGUCGCUAUUCCGGAGCCAUAGCCACUAACCCCACUCCAAUCUGGAUUCGCACCCAAGACUAGACUAGAUUCAAACCGCCGCCGCCAGUACAAGAUCCGCCACCGCCAGCACGCGAACCAUGCCGCUUGGAUCCGCCCCUAGAUCUGGAGCCGAUGCGCCACCUCCACCGCAAACUGACCCAGGAAUACAAGUACCACUUCUCGACUCGCCACCAGAGUUGUCGCCGUCCGGCAGCCCGGCGACCCGAGCAGACUACGCUGUUGAUUCGAAUAGCCCACCCAUUAGUCUGAUACCUCCACCCUUCCCAAGCUUUGUGUGCGAAUCUCCAAUCUUCAUUGACAAAAAAACGAAGCCUAGAUUGCCACCACGAACCCACCAAACUCGCCGAACAACGGCGAACCAAUCACUGCCCGCCUGACGAUCACGUCCCUAGGAUGCGUCGCAGGACAGAGGGAGGAGACACGAGAGGACUCAGACGCGGUUAGGGUUUUUCUCAGAGAGACGCAUAUAUCCGCCUAGACUGUUUUUUAGAACACUGGGGGGCUUGGAAAGCCGACCCCUAAAACAAAAAGUACUCUCAAGCACGUACCCAUCUGAUCACGGCACACUGCUCCAGUACCAAAGCAUACGGCAACACCGUUCAACGCGUCGUCGACCUUGAGUUUCACAAAGCCAGUUGCUGGCGCUCUCCUCGGACGCUGACGUGAUCUGGAAAAAGAAGCUCCACCGCCCAGAUUCAUCUCCUCCUUGUCAUCUGCCAGCAGAAUGACCCUUGAAUACUGUGCCCACCACUCGCCAGCUCUAUUAACCAAAGCUUCCCCAGUUAGCACUUGAUUACCAUGAACUCUAUUGUUUCUUUCAUGCCAUAACCUCCAAACUAGAACACGAGACCAUUCCAAUUCUUCAUCCCGUGCCACCGUAGCCACAUGUAG